GGAGAUGUAGCUUAGUGAAAGAGUGCGUGCCUAGCAUGCAGGAGGCCCUGGGUUCAAUCCCUAGCACCACCA
rnacentral:tRNA from 1 species